rnacentral:rRNA from 1 species
AGGACGAACGCUGGCGGCGUGCUUAACACAUGCAAGUCGAGCGGAAAGGCCCUUCGGGGUACUCGAGCGGCGAACGGGUGAGUAACACGUGAGUAAUCUGCCCCUAGCUCUGGGAUAGCUCCGGGAAACCGGGAUUAAUACCAGAUACGACCACUUUAGACAUCUGUUGUGGUGGAAAGAAUUUUGGCUAGGGAUGAGCUCGCGGCCUAUCAGCUUGUUGGUGAGGUAACGGCUCACCAAGGCGACGACGGGUAGCCGGCCUGAGAGGGCGACCGGCCACACUGGGACUGAGACACGGCCCAGACUCCUACGGGAGGCAGCAGUGGGGAAUAUUGCGCAAUGGGCGAAAGCCUGACGCAGCGACGCCGCGUGGGGGAUGAAGGCCUUCGGGUUGUAAACCCCUUUCAGCAGGGACGAAGCGAAAGUGACGGUACUGCAGAGAAGCGCGGCUAACUACGCGCAGCAGCCGC